rnacentral:tRNA from 1 species
AGUAGAGAAGGAAUUGAACCAACAUUAAAAAAUUCAAAAUUUUAUGUAUUUCUAUUAUACUACCCACUA